rnacentral:rRNA from 1 species
GAAGCUAGGGAGCAACAGGAUAGAUACCUGGUAUCCUAGCCCUAACGAUGAUUGUUGAUGUGCAGGUACCAAUCCUGCCGGUCGAAGCUAACGCGAUAACAAUCCGCCUGGGAGUACGGUCCAAGGCUGAACUCAAAGGAAUUACGGGCGCCGCACAAGCGGGGAGCAUGUGUUUAUUCGACGCAACGCGAAGAACCUACCUGGGCUCGAAAUGUACAUGAUCCGGCAGAAACGUCGGCGUCUAGCAAUAGACAUGUAUAUAGGUGUGCAUGGCUGUCGUCAGCUCGUGUCGUGAGAUGUUGGGUUAAGUCCCGCAACGAGCGCAACCCUUAUCUUCAGUUGCUACCAUUUAGUUGAGCACUCUGAGGAAACCGCCUCGGAUAACGGGGAGGAAGGUGGGGAUGACGUCAAGUCCUCAUGGCCUUUAUGUCCAGGGCUACACACGUGCUACAAUGGCCGGUACAAACCGCUGCAACCCCGCGAGGGUGAGCUAAUCGGAAAAAGCCGGCCUCAGUUCGGAUUGGAGUCUGCAACUCGACUCCAUGAAGCUGGAAUCGCUAGUAAUCGUGGAUCAGCAUGCCACGGUGAAUACGUUCCCGGGCCUUGUACACACCGCCCGUCACAUCACGAAAGUGGGUUGCACUA